AAUGGGCGAAAGCCUGAUCCAGCAAUGCCGCGUGGGUGAAGACGGCCUGCGGGUUGUAAAGCCCUUUAGGCGGGGAGGAACGACGGGACGUGAAUAGCGUUUCGGAGUGACGUUACCCGCGGAAUAAGCACCGGCUAACUCCGUGCCAGCAGCCGCGGUAAUACGGAGGGUGCGAGCGUUAAUCGGAAUUACUGGGCGUAAAGCGUGCGUAGGCGGAUGGGUCAGUCAGCCGUGAAAGCCCCGGGCUUAACCUGGGAACGGCGGUUGAGACGGCCCGUCUUGAGUGGGCUAGAGGAUCGUGGAACUCCCGGUGUAGCGGUGAAAUGCGUAGAGAUCGGGAAGAACACCGAUGGCGAAGGCAGCGAUCUGGGGCCACACUGACGCUGAGGCACGACGGCGUGGGGAGCAAA
rnacentral:rRNA from 1 species